rnacentral:rRNA from 1 species
GAUGAACGCUGGCGGCGUGCCUAAUACAUGCAAGUCGAGCGAACCACUUCGGUGGUGAGCGGCGAACGGGUGAGUAACACGUAGGUGAUCUGCCCAUCAGACGGGGACAACGAUUGGAAACGAUCGCUAAUACCGGAUAGGACGAAAGUUUAAAGGUGCUUCUGGCACCGCUGAUGGAUGAGCCUGCGGCGCAUUAGCUAGUUGGUAGGGUAAAGGCCUACCAAGGCGACGAUGCGUAGCCGACCUGAGAGGGUGAACGGCCACACUGGGACUGAGACACGGCCCAGACUCCUACGGGAGGCAGCAGUAGGGAAUCUUCGGCAAUGGGCGAAAGCCUGACCGAGCAACGCCGCGUGAAUGAUGAAGGCCUUCGGGUUGUAAAAUUCUGUUAUAAGGGAAGAACGACUUUAGUAGGAAAUGGCUAGAGUAUGACGGUACCCAAGGAGGAAGCCACGGCUAACUACGUGCCAGCCGCCGCGGUAAUAC